GAUGAACGCUGGCGGCGUGCCUAAUACAUGCAAGUCGAGCGAACAGAUGAGGAGCUUGCUCCUCUGACGUUAGCGGCGGACGGGUGAGUAACACGUGGAUACCCUACCUAUAAGACUGGGAUAACUUCGGGACACCGGAGCUAAUACCGGAUAAUAUAUUGAACCGCAUGGUUCAAUAGUGAAAGACGGUUUUGCUGUCACUUAUAGAUGGAUCCGCGCCGCAUUAGCUAGUUGGUAAGGUAACGGCUUACCAAGGCAACGAUGCGUAGCCGACCGGGGAGGGGGAUAGACCACACGGGAAGUGGGACACGGUCCAGACGCCUGCGGGAGGCAGCAGUAGGGGAUCUUCCGCAAUGGGCGAAAGCCUGACGGAGCAACGCCGCGUGAGUGAUGAAGGUCUUCGGAUCGUAAAACUCUGUUAUUAGGGAAGAACAAAUGUGUAAGUAACUAUGCACGGCUUGACGGUACCUAAUCAGAAAGCCACGGCUAACUACGUG
rnacentral:rRNA from 1 species